ensembl:miRNA
AAAAGUUAGUUCAGGUUUUUCUAUAACAUCUUAGAAAAACCCAGACAAACUUUUUGG